rnacentral:tmRNA from 3 species
GGGGCUGACCGGUUUUGACAGCAAUGUUGAUGGACUUGUAAGCAUGUCGGGUAAUGUAGAUGAACCCGCUAAUAACUUCUGCAAAACAAUAAUUGGCGAAAAUAAUUUUGCUCUCGCUGCUUAAUCGAAUCAUAGUAGAUUAAAGCUUCAUCGCUGCACAAGGUGCGGCGACGAGACAUUCUGCAAGUGGAGAUGCCUAAUUCCGGCUUGAGUUCAGGGUGCACGCAAUUUUGGGCUGGCGAUGUUGAUGUUUCUAAAACGUCGCGAGAAAUAGAAACUAAGGAAAAGUUUGGGUGUGUAUUUCCGGGCUUUUUUCGAAAAUCAAUAAUAUACUAAACAUGUAGAAAGCACUUUUGUCAAUUGUUUGGACGCGAGUUCGACUCUCGCCAGCUCCACAA